rnacentral:rRNA from 1 species
UGCCGCGUGCAGGAAGAAUGCCCUACGGGUUGUAAACUGCUUUUAUAUAGGAAUAAACCCCUCUACGUGUAGAGGGCUGAAGGUACUAUACGAAUAAGGAUCGGCUAACUCCGUGCCAGCAGCCGCGGUAAUACGGAGGAUCCAAGCGUUAUCCGGAUUUAUUGGGUUUAAAGGGUGCGUAGGCGGGGCAAUAAGUCAGUGGUGAAAUCUUCCAGCUUAACUGGGAAACUGCCAUUGAUACUGUUGUUCUUGAGUUUGGUUGAAGUAGGCGGAAUGAGGCAUGUAGCGGUGAAAUGCAUAGAUAUGCCUCAGAACACCGAUUGCGAAGGCAGCUUACUAAGCCAAUACUGACGCUGAGGCACGAAAGCGUGGGUAGCGAACAGGAUUAGAUACCCUGGUAGUCCACGCUGUAAACGAUGAUUACUCGCUGUUGGCGAUACAAUGUCAGCGGCUAAGCGAAAGUGAUAAGUAAUCCACCUGGGGAGUACGUUCGCAAGAAUGAAACUCAAAGGAAUUGACGGGGGCCCGCACAAGCGGUGGAGCAUGUGGUUUAAUUCGAUGAUACGCGAGGAACCUUACCAGGGCUUAAAUGUAGAACGACCGAUUUGGAAACAAGUCUUCUCUUUGAGCGGUCUACAAGGUGCUGCAUGGUUGUCGUCAGCUCGUGCCGUGAGGUGUCGGGUUAAGUCCCUUAACGAGCGCAACCCCUAUCUCUAGUUGCCAGCGGAUAAUGCCGGGGACUCUAGAGAAACUGCCCGUGCAAACGGUGAGGAAGGUGGGGAUGACGUCAAAUCAUCACGGCCCUUACGUCCUGGGCUACACACGUGCUACAAUGGUCGGUACAGAGGGCAGCUACCACGUGAGUGGAUGCAAAUCUCGAAAGCCGAUCUCAGUUCGGAUUGAAGUCUGCAACUCGACUUCAUGAAGCUGGAAUCGCUAGUAAUCGCGCAUCAGCCAUGGCGCGGUGAAUACGUUCCCGGGCCUUGUACACACCGCCCGUCAAGCCAUGGAAGCUGGGGGUGCCUGAAGUCGGUUGCCGCAAGGCGCUGCCUAGGGUAAAACUGGUAACUGGGGCUAAGUCGUAACAAGGUAGCCGUACCGGAAGGUGCGGCUGGAAUACCUCCUUUCU